GACGAACGCUGGCGGCGUGCCUAACACAUGCAGGUCGAGGGCUUUAGUAGCAAUACAAAGAGCACUGGCGCACGGGUGAGUAACGCGUAGAUCAUCUGCCCCUAACACUGACAUAACAGUUCUAACGGACUGCUAAUAUCAGAUGUGAUGAGCAAUCAUUAAAGGGAAACCGGUUAGGGAUGAGUCUGCGUCUGAUUAGGUAGUUGGUGAGGUAACGGCUCACCAAGCCUACGAUCAGUAACUGGUCUGAGAGGACGAACAGUCACACUGGAACUGAGACACGGUCCAGACUCCUACGGGAGGCAGCAGUGAGGAAUAUUGCACAAUGGGAGAAAUCCUGAUGCAGCGACGCCGCGUGUGGGAAGAAGGAGCUUAGCUUCGUAAACCACUGUCGGAGGGGACGAAUGAUAGGUUAGACCUAUUGAGACGGUACCCUCAAAGGAAGGAUCGGCUAACUACGUGCCAGCAGCCGCGGUAAAGU
rnacentral:rRNA from 1 species